CCUCCUUGGCUCCACCACUACAGCGAGAGCCCAGAAAUGAACAUUCCAUCGCGCAUCGUGCAGCGAAUGUUGAUU
rnacentral:tRNA from 1 species